AGAAGGCUCCUGCAGGCUACACAGCGAGUCUACAGCCUGAUCCAGGCAACCUCAGGAUCUGGUCCCAGGCGUGGGGAGAACCAUCCUUAGGAAUGUUGUCCUGUCGUAAACCUAAGAGGCUCCGGUCGCCCUCAAGUGAAGGGACCAAAGCUGACAGACAAGAGGUUGCUCUCCGAAGUCACACACGAAGACAUGUCAGAGGCAGGGCUUGACCCAGGUGCACUGAGGCCUAAGCUCCCACCGGUCCUGACCUUGGAUCCCAGAAGAUGUCACAUUCCCAGUGCUGCCAAGCUGGAACACAACCAACAUUUCCUGAGCGCCUACUGAAUGUCAGGAAGGGAAAAGGCACAUACUAUACAGGUACAAGAGAGGAGUAUGUAUCUUUCAGCUCCUGUAUUGGGCAGUUUUGUGACUUGCUUUGGCCAAUGAGAUGAGACUGGAAGUGGCACAUAACUUCCUGCUGGAAAUCCUUAGGAGCUGGUGCCUGAUUUG